rnacentral:rRNA from 1 species
CUCAGAUUGAACGCUGGCGGCAGGCUUAACACAUGCAAGUCGAGCGGGGGAAGGUAGCUUGCUACUGGACCUAGCGGCGGACGGGUGAGUAAUGCUUAGGAAUCUGCCUAUUAGUGGGGGACAACAUCUCGAAAGGGAUGCUAAUACCGCAUACGUCCUACGGGAGAAAGCAGGGGAUCUUCGGACCUUGCGCUAAUAGAUGAGCCUAAGUCGGAUUAGCUAGUUGGUGGGGUAAAGGCCUACCAAGGCGACGAUCUGUAGCGGGUCUGAGAGGAUGAUCCGCCACACUGGGACUGAGACACGGCCCAGACUCCUACGGGAGGCAGCAGUGGGGAAUAUUGGACAAUGGGGGGAACCCUGAUCCAGCCAUGCCGCGUGUGUGAAGAAGGCCUUAUGGUUGUAAAGCACUUUAAGCGAGGAGGAGGCUACUUUAGUUAAUACCUAGAGAUAGUGGACGUUACUCGCAGAAUAAGCACCGGCUAACUCUGUGCCAGCAGCCGCGGUAAUACAGAGGGUGCGAGCGUUAAUCGGAUUUACUGGGCGUAAAGCGUGCGUAGGCGGCUUAUUAAGUCGGAUGUGAAAUCCCCGAGCUUAACUUGGGAAUUGCAUUCGAUACUGGUGAGCUAGAGUAUGGGAGAGGAUGGUAGAAUUCCAGGUGUAGCGGUGAAAUGCGUAGAGAUCUGGAGGAAUACCGAUGGCGAAGGCAGCCAUCUGGCCUAAUACUGACGCUGAGGUACGAAAGCAUGGGGAGCAAACAGGAUUAGAUACCCUGGUAGUCCAUGCCGUAAACGAUGUCUACUAGCCGUUGGGGCCUUUGAGGCUUUAGUGGCGCAGCUAACGCGAUAAGUAGA